rnacentral:rRNA from 1 species
UGAAGUGUUUAUGGGCGCAUGGUGGAUGCCUUGGCAUCAGGAGCCGAUGAAGGACGUGGUGGCCUGCGAUAAGCCUCGGGGAGUUGGCGAACGAGCGUUGAUCCGAGGGUGUCCGAAUGGGGAAACCCGGCCGUCGUUAUGGGCGGUCGCCGCCAGAUGAAUUCAUAGUCUGGUUGGUGGUUACGCGGGGAAGUGAAACAUCUCAGUACCCGUAGGAAGAGAAAACAAUUGUGAUUCCGUUAGUAGUGGCGAGCGAACGCGGAUGUUGGCUAAACUGCAUGCGUGUGAUACCCGGCAGGGGUUGCGUGUGUGGGGUUGUGGGAUGCGACUGUUCUGGUGCUGCCGUGCCGGUCAUGAUUAAUCGUGUGUUAGGGGAAGUGGUGUGGAAUCGCCUGCCGUAGACGGUGAGAGCCCGGUACCUGAAAAUGUGUGGUUGUAUUCCCGAGUAGCAGCGGGCCCGUGAAAUCUGCUGUGAAUCUGCCGGGACCACCCGGUAAGCCUGAAUACUACCUGUUGACCGAUAGCGGAUUAGUACCGUGAGGGAAUGGUGAAAAGUACCCCGGGAGGGGAGUGAAAUAGUUCCUGAAACCGUGCGCUUACAAGCCGUCAGAGCACUUCUUAUGUGUGAUGGCGUGCCUUUUGAAGAAUGAGCCUGCGAGUCAUGGUGUGUGGCGAGGUUAACCCGUGUGGGGGAGCCGUAGGGAAACCGAGUCUGAAGAGGGCGUUGGAGUCGCAUGCUGUGGACCCGAAGCGGAGUGAUCUACCCAUGUCCAGGGUGAAGCGGGGGUAAGACCUCGUGGAGGCCCGAACCCACCAGGGUUGAAAACCUGGGGGAUGAGGUGUGGGUAGGGGUGAAAGGCCAAUCAAACUCCGUGAUAGCUGGUUC